rnacentral:lncRNA from 1 species
AAAGGACAAGCUUUUGAGCUGGAAUCUGCGUCAUUUUUCAGACAUUUCCAAUGAGGUGUGUGGUAAGGUAUGUCUUCCUCAUCUUUCUCUUUCCUCCUGUUAAAAUGUAACGCUUGAAUUUCUUUAGACUUUCUUUACUGGAGAGGUACCUCAAUGUGUGAACACUCGUGUGGGCUUCACUGUUCCUUGGGCAGAAGUUUUAGCCCAGAUAAGGGCCAUUGGAGGAGGCCUGACAAGAAUGUCGACCCUCUGCUCUCCUUGAUCAAGUGCCUUUCAGCAGAUUUUUCACGACAGAAUAAUAGUGGAUGCACUGAUGUUGUCAAGCUUCCAGUGCGAAAUGCAAUGCCAGGACUGACAUGCUGAAUUUUCUGCGUGCCAACAGAAACCUCAACUUGCCAGAUGGAACUAACACAUUAUAUAGAUCAUUUUAUUUCAAAUGGAAACAUUUUAAUGAUUGUUUCUGUGCUGUUUUCCUGCUCAGAUUUUAUUAAAAUUUUGCACUUGAAUGGCUGAGAAAGUUCAAGAUCUUGCUAUUGAAUACCAACUUUAUCAUUUGGAAGCCAAGUUAUGUAUAUAGCAAAAAAUACAAGCCCAGAUGAAGAGAGGUGAAAGUACCCUGAGUCCUUAGGAGAACUCAUGCGUCGAGUUACGGAUACUGUAAAGGCAAAAAAGGCUUUGCACCAAGGUUCAAUAGAAGUUCAAAAUAUAAAAUAGAAAUGGCUCAGUACCAAAAUCCUGGUAUCUGAAAAUCCCACAGCCUUUGGAAUCUGAAGUUCAUGGUAUUAAUCUAAUUUGUUCUAGAUGAGUAGCCAGCCCUUUGUGUGCCUGACAGCUGUCUGUUAUGAGCAAGAGCAUGUCUGAUAGGGUAGAGGGAUAUACUGCCCUUCUCUGCUUCCUAAACAGAGGAGAAUCUGACAUUUCUAACUGGUGCUAGCACAGAAGCAAAG